rnacentral:lncRNA from 1 species
CAUAGGAAAAACAAAUGCAAACAAAUCAAGAUUUCAGUUACCUCUGAAAAGGCGGCAGAAAAAUGAGAAGAUUCUGUGAGGUAAAGGAGAGAAACAUAUAUAGGAUCAGCCUAGCCACGGUCUCUUGUGAGAAUAAAGGCAUUUCUUUCAUCUAUUAAACCCAAUGCUAAAUGGCAAUAAAUCAUCAUUCAUUGAAUUCUGCAACCUAAACUAUACCUUACUGAAGAAAUUCUAGCCCCUAUGCAUCAUAAUUAACAUCAAGUAGCAGUAGAAAAUUACAGUACAACAAAGACCUACAUUUUGGCAGCAACCCUACUUGGUCGGAACGGAAUGAACUCUGAGCAAUUACUUCAGGGGAAGAAAGAAAAAUAAGACAGGCUUUACCUAUGAAGCUAAACAAAGCAGUAGAAUGGUUGUGUCAGUCUGGGUCCAAUUAGUAGAGAAAAACCAUAUAGGUAAUACGAACAAGGAAAGUUUAAUAUAAAGAAUUAUAAACUAUAACAGGAGAUUGAAGUAACAAGGCUAACAGGAGUAAAAGGAACUCUAAAAAAUAUAAGAAUGGCUGAUAUAAGGAGAGGCACCACCCCUAGAUCUGAGAUAGAGUGUCCAAGCAAGAUCACCUCUCAGGGCUGACAUCUAGGCCCUGGAAAGGGCACGUCUGUGGGUCCCUGAAUAAAGUCGCACAGAGAAGUCUCACAGAGAAGUCCUUGUGUUGCUGAGCUGGUGAAACUUGCUGGAAAUUCACCUUCUGGAACUUGCCAGAAAUCUACCAUCUGGAACUUGCUAGACAUCCACUAUCUGGAACUUGCUAGAAAUCUGCCCUCUGCAUCUUGCUAGAAAUAUGCCUUCUGGAACUUGCUGGAAAUAGAUGGAAGAUGAGGGAGUAUAAUAUAGACAAUUCUUCCUAGAAGUGAGAAGGUUGCUUGUAAAGACAAAAGACAAUAGGAGCUGGAAGGAAACAGGGAGCUGGGAAAGUUUUUAAAAAUUGAAGAGACUUCAAUAUGUUUAAAAAGACAAUGGAAAAGAUCUCGUGGAGAUAGGGGGCUUGAAUAUAAAAAUGAGAUAAUGCAGAGUUCCUGAGAAGGUGGGAGGUGUUGGGAUCUGUGAAAUAAAAACAUAUUUGAG